CUGGAACACGUAGGGACAGUAUUAGAUAGGAUCAGGAGGGCCGGGUUAACCUUGAAACCAGACAAGUGUCACAUUGGUAUGGCAGAGGUACAAUAUUUGGGCCACAGAGUGGGGUGUGGUAAGCAACGGCCAGAGCCGGGUAAGAUCGAGGCCGUUGCUGAUUGGCCCACUCCCCACACCAAGACACAAGUCAUGGCCUUCUUGGGAACAGCCGGCUAUUACAGACGCUUUGUACCGGACUAUAGCGCCCUGGCCAAACGCCU